AGCUAACAGGAAAAUCUCCAGAAGGAAGAGGACACUAGUAUGUCAGAGAAAACACAAGAUGUGACGGCUUGGGAGAGGUGGACUCGAGGAAAAUGAGAGGAAUGUGGGCGGCCUGUGGGAUGAGGGGGUGAGGUAUUUAAGGGUGAGGUUAGAAGUAGUGAUGUGAGAUCAUACGUGAUGUGAGAACCCAUUUUGUAACGGUAACAGUGAAGCUAAGCAGACUGAUCCCACGGCCUCCAGUUACCUUGCAUUUACAUCUGCUUCCUUCUGUGUAAGUAUAUUAACCUCACAGAAUAACUAUUGAUAAAUAUAAAACGCCUAAAGCAAUGCCUGCUUAAGCACUCAGACAGUAGUCAAUAUAUAAACAACCUAACAAACUUAAUAAAUGGUAACUGUUAAUGAAAGAAAACUAAAGGAUGACAGACCACUAACAAGUGGUUUGUAGGAGAAAGAUAGUAACAGCUACCCUGAAUGGGGAGGGGAAGGGAAAUUUCCAUCUCUGAACAGCGUUAUACAAAGGAAAGUGAGAAUGGAGUUGAAUUUUCAGGCCUCCAGUGACAAAAGUAUGGGUUAAAGUGGCUUGAAAGUGUGUCUGUAGCUGAUAAGCACAUUGACACCAACCUAUAAGGCAUAGUAAGUAUUGAAGUGAGAAUGAGGGAGAAGCUGCUAAAAUCACAAAAAGAAUUAGACAAAAACACUACUGAAUGUCAUGAUGUAACAUGGAGAACAGACUUACCUCCGGUGUGCUGCUUCAUAUUCCCUUACAAAGCAGGAAGGGAGUGUGGAGAUGGAAUGUGAUAAAGGAACAGAAACUGGGUAAAGAGGGAAUGUUAAUACCCGUGACUUUCUGUUACUCAGGACACAGGAAGGAAAGUACUGGAGGAAUUUCUCUAAUUGUGACUCUGCCUUAAACACCUCACACGUCUGGAAAGCAAAAACACAAAGAUUAUUUCUGUAAAUAAAAGAAACUUUUAAAAAAAUCCUGCUAGGAUAAAUAUAAUUGUGUUCUUACAAACUAGAUUUAAUUUAAAACUUGGUUUUAAAACACAAUCAUAAUUUAUAGAACCAAGGAAAUAAUUUGUGUACUAGCUUUCCUUUACAGUAUUCCCAAUGAAAGAUUUAUUUUGGCUGAUGGUUUCAAAGAUUCCAGUCCAUGGUCACUUGGCUCCAUUGUUUUUUGAGCCUGUGAUAAAACAGAAAAGCAGAGCUGGGAACACGUGAUAGAAAAAUCUGUUCAUCUCCAGGUGACCAGGAUAAAUGAUAAGCAAUUAUUUUCAUCUCUGAAAUUUUUCAAGAGAUUUUAAUUGCACCUCUCUGAUAGCCCAGGAAAAUAAAUAGUGAAAUGAAACACUUUGACAAACACAAAUAUCUGUAAGAUUCACGAUAGAAUGCAUCUAUUGCUUCUCUUUCUCUAUCAGACUUUUUAAAUGCUAAUGAUCGCCUAACACUUCAACUUGUGUCUUCCCAACUAUGAAUGUUGAAGAAGAAUGAACCCUUAAAUGAAAGACCCAUUUCUAGCACUGUAUUGGUUAUUACAAACCUGGCUUCCUGGUAAUAUAACUUGUGCAUGACCCUCUCUAGUUAUUAUGGAACAGUAUCAAAUGGAGAGGGGUUGCAACCAGAAAAGUCUGCAUUGCAAUCCUGAUUCUGUCACUAAACUUACUUUGAAUGUUUGUUGUUCAUCUCUGACAACUGAACAGGUUGUUUUUCUUAACAGUCAGUUGCACAGGAAGUUCUUAGUAAAUAGAUCUGUUGUUAUUGUUGGUUUUCUUCCCCAAGCACUCUAGCUCUACAUCUAACCGGAAUGAAGAAG
rnacentral:lncRNA from 1 species